rnacentral:rRNA from 1 species
AUGCUCCUCUGCGACGUGCAUGUCCCGAGGAAGGAGGAGGAGGAGCGCCCCGGCCCCAGGCCGCUUCGCUACGUCCCGCUGCCGGAGCCGGUGCAGCCGGACGGCGACCUCCGUCUCCACGGCCUCUCGUCCUUCUUCCGGGACAUCGCCGUCAUCAACGGCCGGAUCAAGUUCGUCGACCUCCAGCUCCACGCCAGCCCGGGCUCGCCCAUCCCGGACGGCUGGACGGCCGUCACGUGGAGCAUGGCGGCGGGCGGCUCGGGGUUCCGCAAGGACGGGGAGGUGAACUCUAGCGACCAGCGACAUCCGCAACCCCCUGGACCCGUCCCUGUUCGUCACCCACCCCAGGCUCACCGCGCACGACGACGAUGUUCUCUACCUGAUGACAAACGCCGGCCCACACGACGACCGCGAGUCGUGGGUGGUGGCGAUAGACAUGAAAUUGUUCUGAAAUCUGGGAACAUUUUUCAUAUUGGUUAA